rnacentral:rRNA from 1 species
AUUGAACGCUGGCGGAAUGCUUUACACAUGCAAGUCGAGCGGCAGCGCGGGGCAACCUGGCGGCGAGCGGCGAACGGGUGAGUAAUACAUCGGAACGUACCCAGUUGUGGGGGAUAGCCCGGCGAAAGCCGGAUUAAUACCGCAUACGACCUGAGGGUGAAAGGGGGGGAUCGCAAGACCUCUCGCAGUUGGAGCGGCCGAUGGCGGAUUAGCUAGUUGGUAGGGUAAAGGCCUACCAAGGCGACGAUCCGUAGCGGGUCUGAGAGGACGACCCGCCACACUGGAACUGAGACACGGUCCAGACUCCUACGGGAGGCAGCAGGGGGGAAUUUUGGACAAGGGGGGCAACCCUGAUCCAGCCAUUCCGCGUGAGUGAAGAAGGCCUUCGGGUUGUAAAGCUCUUUUGUCAGGGAAGAAAUCUUCUGGGUUAAUACCCUGGGGGGAUGACGGUACCUGAAGAAUAAGCACCGGCUAACUACGUGCCAGCCGCCGCCGUAA